CCUACGGGAGGCAGCAGUGGGGAAUAUUGCACAAUGGGGGAAACCCUGAUGCAGCGACGCCGCGUGAGUGAAGACGUCUUUCGGUAUGUAAAGCUCUAUCAGCAGGGAAGAAGAAAGACGGUACCUGACUAAGAAGCCCCGGCUAACUACGUGCCAGCAGCCGCGGUAAUACGUAGGGGGCAAGCGUUAUCCGGAAUUACUGGGUGUAAAGGGAGCGUAGACGGCUGUGCAAGUCUGAAGUGAAAGGCCAGGGCUCAACCCUGGGACUGCUUUGGAAACUGUGGAGCUAGAGUGCUGGAGAGGUAAGUGGAAUUCCUAGUGUAGCGGUGAAAUGCGUAGAUAUUAGGAGGAACACGAGUGGCGAAGGCGGCUUACUGGACAGUAACUGACGUUGAGGCUCGAAAGCGUGGGGAGCAAACAGGAUUAGAUACCCUGUAGUC
rnacentral:rRNA from 1 species